UACGGGGGGGGCUAGCGUUGUUCGGAAUUACCGGGCGUAAAGGGCGCGUAGGCGGCCUACUAAGUCGGACGUGAAAUCCCUCGGCUCAACCGGGGAACUGCGUCCGAUACUGGUGGGCUCGAAUCCGGGAGAGGGAUGUGGAAUUCCAGGUGUAGCGGUGAAAUGCGUAGAUAUCUGGAGGAACACCGGUGGCGAAGGCGGCUUCCUGGACCGACACUGACGCUGAGGCGCGAAAGCUAGGGGAGCAAACGGG
rnacentral:rRNA from 1 species